rnacentral:rRNA from 1 species
GACGAACGCUGGCGGCGUGCUUAACACAUGCAAGUCGAACGGAAAGGCCCUGCUUGCUGGGUGCUCGCGUGGCGAACGGGUGAGUGACACACGGGUGUUAUGCCCCCUACUUCGGGAUAAGCCUGGGAAACUGGGUCUAUUACCGGAGAUGGCAAUCCCUUAUUGACGGUUGUGGAAAGUUUUUUCGGUUAGGGAUGAGCUCGCGGCCUAUCAGCUUGUUGGUGGGGUAAUGGCCUACCAAGGCGUCGACGGGUAGCCGGCCUGAGAGGGUGGACGGCCACAUUGGGACUGAGAUACGGCCCAGACUCCUACGGGAGGCAGCAGUGGGGAAUAUUGCACAAUGGGCGCAAGCCUGAUGCAGCGACGCCGCGUGGGGGAUGACGGCCUUCGGGUUGUAAACCGCUUUCGACAGGGACGAAGCUUUGGUGACGGUACCCGGAUAAGAAGCACCGGCUAACUACGUG